AUGGAAAUAAAAUGUCUUGUGUUGGAUUGAGUUGAUGGUUGACUUAGAGUCUUGGGUUAAGAUAGAUUUGGAACAGAAGCUGUGAUCAUAUAGGCUGGUUUGGGUUUGUUACGUGUGUACUUAGAUGCAAGUCUUUGGCUUUAAUGCUAAUGCACAUAAGGUGCUCGCUGAAAUGCUCACAAGAAGGUCAGUUUGUUUAGAGGCAGAGUUUUGGUGAUAUUGAUGGGAAGAGUGUUCUUCAUUAGACACAUUAGAAGAAUGAAAUAGGUAAAGGAAACCUAGAUUCAUAGUGAGACAAAGAGGUCAUAGUUAUACCUCUGAGUGAGAUCAACUAAGCUCUCCAAGUUCAAGAGAAACCUCUGAAUGAAGCCAUGUGAUACUCUCCAAGUAUAGGCCUGAAUAGAUCUCACACUAGUGUUUGUCUACAAUGGUGAGUAGAGCCAUUUGCCAACAUCUCAAGCAUCCUACUUCAUCUACUUAUGCUCAUCCCAUGCCAUCUCCAUUUGCAUUCAAAUUCAGCCUCUUGGUUUGCACCCGACGCUAAGUUUGCGGGGGAGUAUUAGAGAACAAGCCCAAGUCAGGUCCAAGACCCAUUUAUGUUAGGGUUUCCAGCAAUCUAAAAUCUUAUAUAUGUUGUUAUGAACUCUUGUGUAAGGAAUCUUGGCUGCCAUAGUUGUAGCCACAUUAAAACAUCUUUUAUGAUAUCAAUCCAUCUUCUUAGUUCUUGGUGAUAAUCUAAAGUCUUUCCUUUUCUUACUCUUUAUAUUUCAAUAAAGCUCAUUGAGCUAUCUCUAGUUUAUGUUUCAAUAAAAUCCUUUAGACACAAAUCUAUCUUGUUCUACAAAUGUUAUCCUUUAGAUAUCAUGUUAGAUUCGGGUUUAUUAUGGGCUUCCAACUCAAAACCAAUUGGUAAUUAGUGGAUUGGCCCUAACCCUUUAUAUAUUACUUAAUGUCCCAUUGAUUUUCCAAUGUGGGAUACAUAUCCCUUAAUACCCCUCCUCGAGAUGAUGGCUCUUAUCGGCCAGAAAUCUCGGAAACUUUUUUUUUUUUUUUAAGACAGUUUUACUCGGUCGAGCGAGUCAAUUACGACCUAUAUACCCGGUCGGGUAGGGUUAAUAUUAAUUAGGGGUUUAACUUAUUAGGAUCUGGGUUCUGAUACCAUGUUAGAUUCGGGUUUAUUAUGGGCUUCCAACUCAAAACCAAUUGGCAAUUAGUGGAUUGGCCCUAACCCUUUAUAUAUUACUUAAUGUUCCAUUGAUUUUCCAAUGUGGGAUACAUAUCCCUUAAUAAAGUAAACGUAUUUGCGGUUUAGAGCUCGUGAGUACAAGUUCCUCUUUUAUCUUUCUUCUCGCCUCACGUAUCCAUGGUGGAAGAUCGUUUAGUCAUCAUAUAAACAUAAUGAUGAUGGUCUUUAACGGCUAGUGCUUUUCUUCUUUGAAAGUGGAGAAGUCAACACAUGGAAAGGGGUCCAUCUUUUAGUUCUCGAGCUUGGCGAGCUCCGCUUCUUCCCUUCCAUCAAACGGUGGUCAAGAUAUUUAUGGUUCCUUUGUUGGUGUUGCUCCACUCGAUAGAUUCCCAUCUUAAAAUGAGACAUCCUUCGGUGACAAAUAUGUAACAUGUUUGGGGCUCCUACAUGUUUCAAUACGAUCUAGUAUAUCAUGUUUACUAACAAAGAAAAUUUUGCUUUUGUUGGAUACGAUACGAAAUCCAAUUCGUCAAAGCAAGAUAAAUGAGUUGUCUUUUAGGAGCUCGUGGAAUCUUGUUAUUCCUAUAAUAAUAAUCAAAGCAAGAAAUCAUGAUUGUGUUUUGAGAUCGCAAGCCUAAUGCUCUCUUAUUUCGUGGAAAGUGUGGAAGUCUUGUUUAUUGACGUCUCCUCGACCUCAAAAUACACAUAAUGAGAUCUGGCGGAUCUGGUGUAUUUAGUUCUUGUGCACAGUCCGAGCGUGCUCGUGAUAUCGUGAUAUGGUCUCGUCAAGACUUUUCGUCACUUCUGAUCAUUUAUUGAUCAAGGACUCAUGUUCGACGUGUAGCGAAGUCGUUUUCUUUGUCUUAUUCUGAGCUGUCCAAGACAAUACCGACGAUUUAUUCCUUUGCGAUCUGUUAAUCAGGACAUUUUACAUUCUUCUGACUUGACAUUGAUAUUCGUUUGAAUGCUUUAGCUCGGUUAGCAAACUUUUAUCGUGUUGGGCAAUCAUUUGACUGGACCCGAACUCGGGAAGUCAGGAUAUCAGAACUCAGAACGUUAUCGGUCGAACUCGGCGGAGUGAAUCAUUUUUAUCAGUAAUAGAGAUUCAAUUUGGCUGAGGUCGGGAUCGAGUAUCACGUUCUGUUUUUCGUUUAGGAUCUAGUAAGAUCGAUGACAUCGUGGUGUGAUGGUUUGUUUGUCACGGUACUUUGCCGCGGUACCGGACUCUAUAUGAGCUGGAUUCAUUUUCGUGCUUACAAGCCUUAGAUCGGGUUCCUAGCAAGGAUGUUUUCCGUUUCUCUUCCCUAUAGUCGGCGCCAAAAUGUAGAACCUAAAAUAUAUACUAUCUAUUUGAUAGUGAUUGGGAGUUCAAUCUAGGAAAGAAAUAACGUGUGCAACGAUAUCUUCAGAACACAACGAUAUAAUCAGGUAUGAGUUGUCGAAAAUGGACUAUAUUCGUAGGUCGAAUAUCAUAGAGAUAUCGGGAGAAGGAAGGAUCGUGACUGAACUCAGGAUCGAGUUGCCUACGUACCCAUCAAGGGAUCAAGUCUAAACUAGUUUGGUCGACUGGCUCAUCUUCCGGUCGCGGAUGGGACGCUCUUGAGAUCCGAACUGCUGAGCACUGGUUGGAUGAAUGAUCGGGUUUCCUUGGUCAGCUAGCUGCAGAUUUGGUUGCACGCGUCUGGUUUGAUCCGUUCAAAGUUUUGUUGUUAGAGUUGUUUGUGUUGGUUGCUGACAUUGUGAUUUGUUUCUACACGUUGGUUUUCUAGAGGGAUAUGUUAUGCUGAAUAUCCCCCUCCUUGUUCCACCAAAUGUUGAAUCCCAAAAUUCACUCAGAAAUAGGAUUUAAAUUUUUGGGGACUUGUUAAAAUAAUUAUCUAAACAUGUUUUAUUGUUGAUAAGUAUAUUAGAGAACAAGCCCAAGUCAGGUCCAAGACCCAUUUAUGUUAGGGUUUCCAGCAAUCUAAAAUCUUAUAUAUGUUGUUAUGAACUCUUGUGUAAGGAAUCUUGGCUGCCAUAGUUGUAGCCACAUUUUUCUUUUUUUUUUUUUGUAACAUAGUUGUAGCCACAUUAAAACAUCUUUUAUGAUAUCAAUCCAUCUUCUUAGUUCUUGGUGACAAUCUAAAGUUUUUCCUUUUCUUACUCUUUAUAUUUCAAUAAAGCUCAUUGAGCUAUCUCUAGUUUAUGUUUCAAUAAAAUCCUUUAGACACAAAUCUAUCUUGUUCUACAAAUGUUAUCGUGGUAUCAGAGCUUCAGUCGGUUCUAAUGGGUUACCCUAUCCUCUUUUAGCUUCUGCACACUCUGUCUAAGUCAUCCCAACUUUCCACCAAACUCUCUUAGAAAAACAAGGAGUUCAAAGUCGAAGCUUUCAUCAGAUCAGAGUCUCCUAAUCGUGUUGACGGCUAGAGACAAGACACCGUAACGGCUAAAGGCGCGACCUUUACGUUCAUGAGAAAAAUGUUCGCUGCUCAACACCACGUUCAGUGAAUCAGCGCAGUCAGAUGGAGCUAUGUGUUUUUCUGGUUAAAGAUAGAAGCUGAAGAUGCUUCGUUGGAAAGAGCUCAGACCAGACAGAGAAGAAAAAAAAAAGGCUUCUUCAUCACUUAGUCCACGGUAUUGUCUGUUUCUCUCACUUUAGACACAACAAAGGAUGGAAAUAAAAUGUCUUGUGUUGGAUUGAGUUGAUGGUUGACUUAGAGUCUUGGGUUAAGAUAGAUUUGGAACAGAAGCUGUGAUCAUAUAGGCUGGUUUGGGUUUGUUACGUGUGUACUUAGAUGCAAGUCUUUGGCUUUAAUGCUAAUGCACAUAAGGUGCUCGCUGAAAUGCUCACAAGAAGGUCAGUUUGUUUAGAGGCAGAGUUUUGGUGAUAUUGAUGGGAAGAGUGUUCUUCAUUAGACACAUUAGAAGAAUGAAAUAGGUAAAGGAAACCUAGAUUCAUAGUGAGACAAAGAGGUCAUAGUUAUACCUCUGAGUGAGAUCAACUAAGCUCUCCAAGUUCAAGAGAAACCUCUGAAUGAAGCCAUGUGAUACUCUCCAAGUAUAGGCCUGAAUAGAUCUCACACUAGUGUUUGUCUACAAUGGUGAGUAGAGCCAUUUGCCAACAUCUCAAGCAUCCUACUUCAUCUACUUAUGCUCAUCCCAUGCCAUCUCCAUUUGCAUUCAAAUUCAGCCUCUUGGUUUGCACCCGACGCUAAGUUUGCGGGGGAGUAUUAGAGAACAAGCCCAAGUCAGGUCCAAGACCCAUUUAUGUUAGGGUUUCCAGCAAUCUAAAAUCUUAUAUAUGUUGUUAUGAACUCUUGUGUAAGGAAUCUUGGCUGCCAUAGUUGUAGCCACAUUAAAACAUCUUUUAUGAUAUCAAUCCAUCUUCUUAGUUCUUG
rnacentral:lncRNA from 1 species